rnacentral:rRNA from 1 species
UUUCCUACGGGGCGCAGCAGUGGGGAAUAUUGCACAAUGGGGGAAACCCUGAUGCAGCAACGCCGCGUGAGUGAAGAAGUCAUUCGUGAUGUAAAGCUCUAUCAGCAGGGAAGAAAAUGACGGUACCUGAGUAAGAAGCCCCGGCUAACUACGUGCCAGCAGCCGCGGUAAUACGGAGGAUGCGAGCGUUAUCCGGAUUUAUUGGGUUUAAAGGGUGCGCAGGCGGCACGGCAAGCCGGCGGUCAAAUCGCGGGGCUCAACCCCGCCCAGCCGUCGGAACUGCCGGGCUCGAGUGGGCGAGAAGG